rnacentral:rRNA from 1 species
UGGGGAAUUUUGGACAAUGGGCGCAAGCCUGAUCCAGCCAUUCCGCGUGCAGGACGAAGGCCUUCGGGUUGUAAACUGCUUUUGUACGGAACGAAAAGGCUCUGGCUAAUACCUGGGGCUCAUGACGGUACCAUAAGAAUAAGCACCGGCUAACUACGUGCCAGCAGCCGCGGUAAUACGUAGGGUGCAAGCGUUAAUCGGAAUUACUGGGCGUAAAGCGUGCGCAGGCGGUUAUGUAAGACAGAGGUGAAAUCCCCGGGCUCAACCUGGGAACUGCCUCUGUGACUGGAUAGCUGGAGUACGGCAGAGGGGGAUGGAAUUCCGCGUGUGGCAGUGAAAUGCGUAGAUAUGCGGAGGAACACCGAUGGCGAAGGCAAUCCCC